rnacentral:lncRNA from 10 species
CGGAAGUGCUUCAGCGCCUCCUCUGUUUUCCCCGGUGCCAGGGAGUCCUUGAGAUACCGGAUGUCUUUGGAGCAGCUGAGCUCAGGCAGGCCUGCUGCCUGCAUCAGGGCAAAGAGGUGGAGGAAGAGAAGCCCGUGGCGCCGCAGGAUGGUGUUAGGCCCUUUCACAGUAGCCCCGGAACCUUUCAAAUUUCUCAUAUUAUUAGUCUUCCCCUGCUCAAUCACAUGGACAAAGUCAUAGUGUGAAACUACAACUGUGUUUAUAAGGAGGAUGCCACUGGAAAUGAAUUCUGCUCAAAGAAUGAACUCUCUACACACAUCAUCUUUCUCUCACAGACAUCAUACCACCUCAAGCACUGCAGCCUCAAAAGGGGAAAUUCCUGAGUGAUUCUUCUUGAAGCUUAAAUUCUGUGGGAUUUUUAUGGUGGAAAACUUAGGAGAGGAACCAGACAGCCCAUCUAGGAGCUGAUACUCUUCUAGUGAAGACCACCCUUGCAGGAAAGCAUCUGUCCUCCCAGAAUCCGGAUGUUAGGUUUGAGAAUUUACUAAUGUGUGACUUCUCUGAAACAAUUUAUUUAGGAAAAAAGGUUGAAUAAAUAUAUACUCAAUAAAAGUAUUGCAAAAAUUAAAUAAAUCACAUAGGUAAAGGUUGUCUAAAUGGGAAAUUCCUUCAGACAAACAGGGAUUUUUAAUUGUGACCACCAUUGUGUUUGUUAUCCAUUGCCACAGUCAUCUGGGACAGAAUGCAAUCACAAACUCCUUACUGACUUAAGAAAACAAGCAUUUACUUAAUCCAAACAUAGGUCUGAGGGAGGCCGAGCCAUUUUUCUGCUCUCAGCUGGGCUCACUCAUGAAUCUGCAGCUACCAAUGUGAUCCAGGCAGCUCAACACAUGGAAGGUGGGCUUGCUGGGCAGUGCCCCCUGGUCUCAGCUGGAGGAACCAGUCUCCCCCAUGGUGUGUGUCAUCCACCAACAGGAUGUCCCAGGCUUGGUUUCAUGCUGACGGUGAUUUAUCAACACUGUAAGCAGAACCGUGAAAGGUGUCUUGAGGCCAGGUGCAGGAGCAACACAGUGUCCCCUCAGCUGCAUUGUCUUGGUCAAAACUAGCCACGAGGCCAGCCCAGAUUGGAAAUAUGAGAAGGAGAAGCAACUUCUUGAUGGCAAGACCUGCAAAGUCACAUUGCAGCGGGCAUGGAUACCCUCAGAGGAUUCAAAAAUUGUGGCUGCUUUUGAAAUCAAUCCACUACAUUCAUUAAAUAUAAUAUGUAUAUCAAAGGAUCACAGAAUAAAAUAAAUUUAAAUUGGAUGAAUACUGUCGCUGGAAAGAAGAUAAUAUUUUGGAGAAGACAGACAGUCUUGAAUCUGCCAUGGCUCAUAAC